rnacentral:sRNA from 1 species
GGGACGCCGACUUCUGCUUCGCGGUGCCCCCGGCCAGAGCGACUCUCCGGAGGGCGCCCGCGGUGGAUGCGUGCGGGAAUCGCGGGGGGAAGCGCUGUGAUCAACCGCAUUCCGUGGACCCUAGUUGGGCAGCUUUGGAAGAAGUAGAAGGUGAUGUGGCAGAAUUGGAACUAAAACUUGAUAAGCUUGUGAAACUUUGUAUUGCAAUGAUUGAUACUGGAAAAGCCUUUUGUGUUGCAAAUAAACAGUUCAUGAAUGGGAUUCGAGACCUGGCUCAGUAUUCUAGUAAUGAUGCUGUCGUUGAGACAAGUUUGACCAAGUUUUCUGACAGUCUUCAAGAAAUGAUAAAUUUUCACACAAUUACCCAGUCUCAGGCAGUUCUUUAUAGCAGUGUGAGAAUGGACUAAUACUGUGGUCUUGGAUAACAUCUGGAAGAAUUCUCUGGAUUACCAGAUCCUGUUUGACCAAACUCAGAGAUCAAUUAAGGCACAGCUUCAGAACUUUGUUAAAGAAGAUCUUAGAAAAUUCAAAGAUGCCAAGAAGCAAUUCGAAAAAGUCAGU